UCGAGCGAGCGCUUUUUUGAACUCUUCGGAGGGAAGAGAGGGUGACUUAGCGGCGGACGGGUGAGUAACGCGUGGGCAACCUGCCUUACACAGGGGGAUAACAAUUAGAAAUGAUUGCUAAUACCGCAUAAGACCCCAGUGCCGCAUGGUACAGGGGUAAAAACUGAGGUGGUGUAAGAUGGGCCCGCGUCUGAUUAGGUAGUUGGUGGGGUAGAAGCCUACCAAGCCGACGAUCAGUAGCCGACCUGAGAGGGCGACCGGCCACAUUGGGACUGAGACACGGCCCAAACUCCUACGGGAGGCAGCAGUGGGGAAUAUUGCACAAUGGGGGAAACCCUGAUGCAGCGACGCCGCGUGAGUGAGGAAGUAUUUCGGUAUGUAAAGCUCUAUCAGCAGGGAAGAAAAUGACGGUACCUGACUAAGAAGCCCCGGCUAACUACGUGCCAGCAGCCGCGGUAAUACGUAGGGGGCAAGCGUUAUCCGGAUAUACUGGGUGUAAAGGGAGCGUAGACGGAAUUGCAAGUCUGAUGUGAAAAUCCGGGGCCCAACCCCGGAACUGCAUUGGAAACUGUAUUUCUAGAGUGUCGGAGAGGCAAGUGGAAUUCCUGGUGUAGCGGUGAAAUGCGUAGAUAUCAGGAGGAACACCAGUGGCGAAGGCGGCUUGCUGGACGAUGACUGACGUUGAGGCUCGAAAGCGUGGGGAGCAAACAGGAUUAGAUACCCUGGUAGUCCACGCCGUAAACGAUGACUACUAGGUGUCGGGAGGCAAAGCCUUUCGGUGCCGCAGCCAACGCAAUAAGUAG
rnacentral:rRNA from 1 species